GCAUUAGUGGUGUAAUGGUUAACAUAUGGUCUUCCCAUCAUUCUGUCAGAGCAUCUGUUGGCCGCGUUCGGGGUUCGCCUCCCCGUUGAUGCA
rnacentral:tRNA from 1 species